rnacentral:rRNA from 1 species
AUUGAACGCUGGCUGUAGGCUUAACACAUGCAAGUCGAGCGGCAGAAGGUAGCUAGCUCGCUGUUUCAGCCGCCGACGGGCGAGCAAUUCCUAAGAACCUGCCUGGCAUGCGGGUAUAACGUCCGUAAACGAGCGCUAAUACCGCUUAUGCCCUGUGUAUGCAAGUGAUGGAUCUUCGGACCGCAUGCUAUUAUAUCAGCUUGGGUCGGAUUUGCUAGUUGGUGGGGUAUAGGCCUACUAAGGCGACGAUACGUAACGGGUCUGAGAGGAUGAUCAGGCACACUGGAACGGAGACACGGUCCAGACCACAACGGGAGGGGGCAGUGGGGAAUGUUGGACUAUGGGAGGAAGCCUGGUCCGGCCAUGCCGCGUAUGUGAAAGAAGUCUUCGGAUUGUAAAUCUAUUUUAGUUGGGAGGAAGGGCAGUGAGUUGAUACCGUGCUGUUUUGACGGUACCAAAAGAAUAAGCACCGGCUAACUUCGUG